GAUGAACGCUGGCGGCGUGCCUAAUACAUGCCAGUCGAGCGAACAGACGAGGAGCCUGCUCCUUUGACGUUAGCGGCGGACGGGUGAGUAACACGUGGGUAACCUACCUAUAAGACUGGGAUAACUUCGGGAAACCGGAGCUAAUACCGGAUAAUAUUUCGAACCGCAUGGUUCGAUAGUGAAAGAUGGCUUUGCUAUCACUUAUAGAUGGACCUGCGCCGUAUUAGCUAGUUGGUAAGGUAACGGCUUACCAAGGCAACGAUACGUAGCCGACCUGAGAGGGUGAUCGGCCACACUGGAACUGAGACACGGUCCAGACUCCUACGGGAGGCAGCAGUAGGGAAUCUUCCGCAAUGGGCGAAAGCCUGACGGAGCAACGCCGCGUGAGUGAUGAAGGUCUUCGGAUCGUAAAACUCUGUUAUUAGGGAAGAACAAACGUGUAAGUAACUGUGCACGUCUUGACGGUACCUAAUCAGAAAGCCACGGCUAACUACGUG
rnacentral:rRNA from 1 species